rnacentral:rRNA from 1 species
UUUGAUCAHGCUCAGGAUGAACGCUGGCGGCGUGCUUAACACAUGCAAGUCGAACGAUGAAGCCCAGCUUGCUGGGUGGAUUAGUGGCGAACGGGUGAGUAACACGUGAGUAACCUGCCCCCGACUCUGGGAUAAGCCCGGGAAACUGGGUCUAAUACCGGAUAUUACCUUUGACCGCAUGGUUGUUGGUGGAAAGAUUUAUCGGUGGGGGAUGGACUCGCGGCCUAUCAGCUUGUUGGUGAGGUAAUGGCUCACCAAGGCGACGACGGGUAGCCGGCCUGAGAGGGUGACCGGCCACACUGGGACUGAGACACGGCCCAGACUCUACGGGAGGCAGCAGUGGGGAAUAUUGCACAAUGGGCGAAAGCCUGAUGCAGCGACGCCGCGUGAGGGAUGACGGCCUUCGGGUUGUAAACCUCUUUCAGUAGGGAAGAAGCGAAAGUGACGGUACCUGCAGAAGAAGCGCCGGCUAACUACGUGCCAGCAGCCGCGGUAAUACGUAGGGCGCAAGCGUUAUCCGGGAUUUAUUGGGCGUAAAGAGCUCGUAGGCGGUUUGUCGCGUCUGCCGUGAAAGUCCGAGGCUCAACCUCGGAUCUGCGGUGGGUACGGGCAGACUAGAGUGAUGUAGGGGAGACUGGAAUUCCUGGUGUAGCGGUGAAAUGCGCAGAUAUCAGGAGGAACACCGAUGGCGAAGGCAGGUCUCUGGGCAUUUACUGACGCUGAGGAGCGAAAGCAUGGGGAGCGAACAGGAUUAGAUACCCUGGUAGUCCAUGCCUAAACGUUGGGCACUAGGUGUGGGGACAUCCACGUUUCCGC